rnacentral:rRNA from 1 species
GACGAACGCUGGCGGCGUGCCUAAUACAUGCAAGUUGAGCGCUGAAGGUUGGUACUUGUACCAACUGGAUGAGCAGCGAACGGGUGAGUAACGCGUGGGGAAUCUGCCUUUGAGCGGGGGACAACAUUUGGAAACGAAUGCUAAUACCGCAUAAAAACUUUAAACACAAGUUUUAAGUUUGAAAGAUGCAAUUGCAUCACUCAAAGAUGAUCCCGCGUUGUAUUAGCUAGUUGGUGAGGUAAAGGCUCACCAAGGCGAUGAUACAUAGCCGACCUGAGAGGGGAAUCGGCCACAUUGGGACUGAGACACGGCCCAAACUCCUACGAGAGGCAGCAGUAGGGAAUCUUCGGCAAUGGACGAAAGUCUGACCGAGCAACGCCGCGUGAGUGAAGAAGGGUUUCGGAUCGUAAAACUCUGUUGGUAGAGAAGAACGUUGGUGAGAGUGGAAAGCUCAUCAAGUGACGGUAACUACCCAGAAAGGGACGGCUAACUACGUG